rnacentral:rRNA from 1 species
AUUGAACGCUGGCGGCAUGCCUUACACAUGCAAGUCGAACGGCAGCACGGGAGCAAUCCUGGUGGCGAGUGGCGAACGGGUGAGUAAUAUAUCGGAACGUGCCCAGUCGUGGGGAUAACGUAGCGAAAGCUACGCUAAUACCGCAUACGAUCUAUGGAUGAAAGCGGGGGAUCGCAAGACCUCGCGCGAUUGGAGCGGCCGAUAUCAGAUUAGGUAGUUGGUGAGGUAAAGGCUCACCAAGCCGACGAUCUGUAGCUGGUCUGAGAGGACGACCAGCCACACUGGGACUGAGACACGGUCCAGACUCCUACGGGAGGCAGCAGUGGGGAAUAUUGGACAAUGGGCGAAAGCCUGAUCCAGCCAUGCCGCGUGUGUGAAGAAGGUCUUCGGAUUGUAAGCACUUUAAGUUGGGAGGAAGGGUAGUAACCUAAUACGUUGCUACUUUGACGUUACCGACUAGAAUAAGCACCGGCUAACUU